AACCUAGCACACCUGCGGUGUGUACCUGCGGAGGGAUCAUUACCGAGUUUACAACUCCCAAACCCCUGUGAACAUACCUAUAAUUUGCCUCGGCGGACUCAACGACGGUGCUCCGAGAAAUCGGGCGCCGCUCGCUGCCAGAGGAACCCCAAACUCUAUGUAUUCUUGUGGAUCUUCUGAGUAAAACAAAACAAAUAAAUCAAAACUUUUAACAACGGAUCUCAGAUCGGAAGAGCACAC
rnacentral:misc_RNA from 1 species